rnacentral:lncRNA from 1 species
CUUUGCAGGGGCUAGGUGGGGGAGAUUACCUGCUAAACGGAGGGCAGGUAGAAUAUGGCUGAAAGGCAAAGGUGUCUAUAGCACCUGUGAAGCAAGAUCAAAAGAAUACGGGAAAGACACUGAUCUCUGAAAAAGUCAAACAAAGAGACCAUGGGUUCAACACUUGAGACUUCAAUAGCAGAUGCCAACAAGCCAUACCAAAGCCUGAAGAAGUCACUAAUGUGAAAGCCAAAGGACAAAGAGGAAAGUAGGUGAUCCUUCAUGUGUGCAUCUCAGAUCUGAGGAGCUAUAAAAGAGACAUCAUACCAGACUCUACUCCAGAAUGGAAAUGUCCAAUGCCUAAUCAGAAGCCAGGGAGUAGGGUGAAUGCGAUAGAUAAGAGAUCAUCAUCCCAACCUGCAGCCCUCAUUACUGCUCGUUCUAUGGAGUAGUCAUUUUUUGUUUUUGUUGUUUCUUUACUUCUCUAAGAAACUUGCUUUUGCUUAAAAAAAAAUAAAAAUAAAGGAGAUAAGAGAACAUCCAAUAAAAGAAGGCAAAUGUUGUGUGCAUAGAGAUUACUAGGUUAAGGAAAGCAGGCCAACUAGCAUUAAACCAACCCAUACCUUUGUUCAACACUUAGAAUGAAAUCUAAAUUUAUUUCUCUGGCGUUGAAUAAGCCUAUGACAUCAACCUGAACUACUCUUCUGCUCACAGCAUUCCAGACACAUUGACUAUUUCAUGCAUCUUUGUCCUUAUUGCUAUACCUGGAAUUCUA